UGAGGAAUAUUGGACAAUGGGCGCAAGCCUGAUCCAGCAAUGCCGCGUGCAGGAUGAAGGCCUUCGGGUUGUAAACUGCUUUUGUACGGAGCGAAAAGGUCUGCCCUAAUACGGUGGGCUCAUGACGGUACCGUAAGAAUAAGCACCGGCUAACUACGUGCCAGCAGCCGCGGUAAUACGUAGGGUGCGAGCGUUAAUCGGAAUUACUGGGCGUAAAGCGUGCGCAGGCGGUUAUAUAAGACAGAUGUGAAAUCCCCGGGCUCAACCUGGGACCCGCAUUUGUGACUGUAUAGCUAGAGUACGGUAGAGGGGGAUGGAAUUCCGCGUGUAGCAGUGAAAUGCGUAGAUAUGCGGAGGAACACCGAUGGCGAAGGCAAUCCCCUGGACCUGUACUGACGCUCAUGCACGAAAGCGUGGGGAGCAAACA
rnacentral:rRNA from 1 species